AUGAACGCUGGCGGCGUGCCUAAUCCCUGCCAGUCGAGCGAACAGAUGAGGAGCUUGCUCCUCUGACGUUAGCGGCGGACGGGUGAGUAACACGUGGAUAACCUACCUAUAAGACUGGGAUAGCUUCGGGAAACCGGAGCUAAUACCGGAUAAUAUAUUGAACCGCAUGGUUCAAUAGUGAAAGACGGUUUUGCUGUCACUUAUAGAUGGAUCCGCGCCGCAUUAGCUAGUUGGUAAGGUAACGGCUUACCAAGGCAACGAUGCGUAGCCGACCUGAGAGGGUGAUCGGCCACACUGGAACUGAGACACGGUCCAGACUCCUACGGGAGGCAGCAGUAGGGAAUCUUCCGCAAUGGGCGAAAGCCUGACGGAGCAACGCCGCGUGAGUGAUGAAGGUCUUCGGAUCGUAAAACUCUGUUAUUAGGGAAGAACAAAUGUGUAAGUAACUAUGCACGUCUUGACGGUACCUAAUCAGAAAGCCACGGCUAACUACGUG
rnacentral:rRNA from 1 species